AAAACUUUCAACAACGGAUCUCUUGGUUCUGGCAUCGAUGAAGAACGCAGCGAAAUGCGAUAAUUAAUGUGAAUUGCAGAAUUCAGUGAAUCAUCGAAUCUUUGAACGCACAUUGCGCCCCUUGGUAUUCCGAGGGGCAUGCCUGUUCGAGCGUCAUU
rnacentral:rRNA from 4 species